UUGACAACUUUUUAAUCCUGACAUCAAAAGCCUCAUAGAUACAUUAAUCAUGAAGAAUUUCUCAAGCAUAGCUGGCUUUAUAUUUCUGCUCUUCGUUGUUCUGGGUAAGUCGCAUAGUCUUCCAUUUUAUAUUUUUAAUGGAAAUCUUAUAAGUACCAUAAGAAUAGUAAAUUUUGUUCAUCCAUUACCAUUAUAGAACUAUGAUAAAACGAAAAUUUUAUGAUAUUAGAAUAGAGAAGUUCUAAAACCUGUUAAUUUCAAGGGAACAAGAUCACAUUUGUUACUGUGCUAUCCGAAACUGAGUAACUUUAUCAGCCGUUUGACUGUUGGUCUAAUCUUACUUUCACCGUUAGAAAUAAGUCUAAUUUUUACCCUUGAUUUGUAACGGAGCUCAAAUUAAAGGAUAAUUACGAAUCAUAAUCAUAAGUUGCGGAGUAAAUUUGCACAUCUUUUAUUGAGUCCCGCAUAUUUCAAGCUGGAGCUCCAUUGAUGACAAGUGAAAACAAAAAAUAAUUUGCUAAUCUCAAGUGAAUUAUUGAACUAAAAUUCUAAUCGAGGAAAACAUAGCUCAAUUUCGAAUAUUAUAGGAGAAAAUUUGGACAUUUUCUCUAAUUUAAAAGAUAGAUGAUGCUAUUGAUCUAUUCUUUUGUACAUAGAGGAGUGACACUGACUCAAUUUUGUGUUUAGCGGAAUCUUCUAGAAUCAUUUAGCAUAAAAAUCUCUUGAGUAUAAAGAAUUAUAGACAAAAAUUAAUAACCCGAUGUUCUUUUAUAUUAGUCAUUGAAGAAUAUUUCAACUUUUAAUGCUCACAAUGUUUUAUUUUAAUUGUUUUCCUUUUCUGUCCAAAUAAAUGUAGGCACUAAGACAAGAGGACAAAAAGUAUGCCUAGUUCCACAGGCAGUUACGAAACCUUGUGAUCCAACAGACUGCAACACCCAAUGCUCUCUACACUGGGUAGGAAUUCCAACACCUGGUAAUAUUAAAGGACCACUUCUUGGAGCAAAUUGCUUCAGUGACAGUUGUUUUUGCACUUUUUGUUGUUUGCUUGGCUGCAAUUAGGUCUCUCCUUUCUUGAAUUCUCAUAUACUAGCUAGCUAUUCCUAAUUAGUGGAAUUUAUGGAGAUAAUCCUUCUUUAUUACUCCAUUAUUUAAUUGUCUGGUCAACUUUACUUUUGAAGUAAAAAUUAAUUGAUGGAAAGUUUAAACAAAGAGAGAAUUUAAUUUUGUUUGGUGGAAAAUUCAUCUUGAUAGCUGAAAUUUAUGUACUAUGAUAAAGUUCUUAUCCACCUAUAUUUUUUAGCGCGAAAUAUCACAACCCAAAAUCCAAACGGUGAUCGGCAGCUUGCAGUUCUUUUUCGAGCAAACCAACCUUUAACCGCAACUAGAUCAUUCA
rnacentral:lncRNA from 1 species